AUAUUCAAUAAAGCCUUGUUGAAUUGAAUCGCAUCCAAUUGAAGUCCCUUGAUUCUACCCAGCAUCGGACUCACUGGGAACCACAAAAUCCCACCAGUUUCUUGGUGCAGUGAGCAGGGUGAGAAAUAUCUUUCCGGAUCACAGCCUACAAUCAAAUUAGAGGAUGGCCAAACGCACAUGAAAGGCUUAGAAGUGAUCCUGCAGCACUUGGCAGACAGUGGGGAAAGAAAUCUCCGGCAGUCCAGGUGGCAAGAUGGACUCGAUGGGAAACGAGCUUGCUAAUGCCUUCAGUACGUCUGCAACGAGCGUCAUCGCUAAACCCUGCCACCCUCACGCCUAGCCCAGAUGAGGGACACCCGCAUCAGUGUUGCCUUAAGGAAGAGCCCAUGGACCUUCCAUUGGUCAAAGAAACUGCAAUACCUGGUGCCCCUUGCCUAUACGUGGAUGGUUCUUCCUCCUACAUGGAUGGCAAGUGACACACAGGAUGGGCCGUUUGUACGCAAGAUGGGCAGCUGGUGACACCUGGCA